rnacentral:lncRNA from 1 species
GCCAUGUUAGAAAUGUACAAUCUCAGCCAGAUCACACCACCCAUGGAUGAACCGAUAGAGUCUAUGCUGAUAGACAUUUCUAUGUUUUAUUGGACGGCUACCCUGGAGACCCAGCAUGAUGUUUCUGAGAUGGAGAAGAAGUUGCUGGAGGAGGCCUUUGGCCUCACCCUCAGAAGCCUUCUUCGGCAGUCUCCCACCACACAGCAAUUCAUUUUCAUUCUGAAGCACUUGGACCCACACCGGAAGCUGUUCUUGCCGGCGGUGAACCAGCUCCUCUACUGUGGGAACCAUCAUCCCAACAUCGAUGUAGGUAGCAAAACUAAAUUAACAUGACUU